rnacentral:rRNA from 1 species
AUGAACGCUGGCGGCGUGCCUAAUACAUGCCAGUCGAGCGAACGGACGAGAAGCUUGCUUCUCUGAUGUUAGCGGCGGACGGGUGAGUAACACGUGGAUAACCUACCUAUAAGACUGGGAUAACUUCGGGAAACCGGAGCUAAUACCGGAUAAUAUUUUGAACCGCAUGGUUCAAAAGUAAAAGACGGUCUUGCUGUCACUUAUAGAUGGAUCCGCGCUGCAUUAGCUAGUUGGUAAGGUAACGGCUUACCAAGGCAACGAUGCAUAGCCGACCUGAGAGGGUGAUCGGCCACACUGGAACUGAGACACGGUCCAGACUCCUACGGGAGGCAGCAGUAGGGAAUCUUCCGCAAUGGGCGAAAGCCUGACGGAGCAACGCCGCGUGAGUGAUGAAGGUCUUCGGAUCGUAAAACUCUGUUAUUAGGGAAGAACAUAUGUGUAAGUAACUGUGCACAUCUUGACGGUACCUAAUCAGAAAGCCACGGCCAACUACGUG